rnacentral:rRNA from 1 species
ACCUCCUACGGACGCAGCAGUAGGGAAUCUUCCACAAUGGGCGAAAGCCUGAUGGAGCAACGCCGCGUGGGUGAAGAAGGUCUUCGGAUCGUAAAACCCUGUUGUUAGAGAAGAAAGUGCGUGAGAGUAACUGUUCACGUUUCGACGGUAUCUAACCAGAAAGCCACGGCUAACUACGUGCCAGCAGCCGCGAUAAUACGUAGGUGGCAAGCGUUAUCCGGAUUUCUUGGGCGUAAAGGGAACGCAGGCGGUCUUUUAAGUCUGAUGUGAAAGCCUUCGGCUUAACCCGAGUAUGGCAUUGGAAA